UAUAACAGUGAAACAUUUGUCAGAAAGAAAGAAUACUUGAGAAAAAUAUCUUUAUGAUUAAAAUUAAUAAAAAUCAUUUCAAAAUAAUGUGUUUUUUUUUAAAACGAAUAAUAUGAACCAUAUAAAGUAUUAUUUGAUCCUUAUAACCUCUUCUGGGAACUCCGAAUUCAUUCAACCUAUAUAUUUAAACGAAAUUACCUCAGCCUUUAAAAGAAGCUAAUCUUUUUAUUGUGUCAAACUAAUGUAGCACAAAUAAAGUUCCAACUAAACAUCUCACCAAUAUUUUUAUAUGUGAUUUAUUUGUAAAUUUUCUUAUUUUUUUCACUCUUCAAAUAUUAUCUAUCCUAGUCCCAUUUUCGUAAAGGAAGCUUCAAGUAUCAAAA
rnacentral:lncRNA from 1 species